GAUGAACGCUAGCGGGAGGCCUAACACAUGCAAGCCGAGCGGUAGAGUCUCUUCGGAGACUUGAGAGCGGCGCACGGGUGCGGAACACGUGUGCAACCUGCCUUUAUCUGGGGGAUAGCCUUUCGAAAGGAAGAUUAAUACCCCAUAAUAUACUGGAUGGCAUCAUCUGGUAUUGAAAACUCCGGUGGAUAGAGAUGGGCACGCGCAAGAUUAGAUAGUUGGUGAGGUAACGGCUCACCAAGUCAGCGAUCUUUAGGGGGCCUGAGAGGGUGAUCCCCCACACGGGAACGGAGACACGGACCAGACGCCUGCGGGAGGCAGCAGUGAGGAAUAUGGGACAAUGGGUGAGAGCCUGAUCCAGCCAGCCCGCGUGAAGGACGACGGUCCUAUGGGUUGUAAACUUCUCUUGUAGAGGGAUAAACCUAGAUACGUGUAUCUAGCUGAAGGUACUAUACGAAUAAGCACCGGCUAACUCCGUG
rnacentral:rRNA from 1 species